ACAUUUAGCAUACUGCCCAAUUAAGAUAUACAACUUCUAGAAAACCAGUGCUCAUUAUCAAAGAAGACCUGAUCCACAAUAUCUAAAUUUGUUGAUAACUGGAAAAGGCUGUCCAACCUGGUGAAGAUAUCUUUAAACUAUGAAUGACUGGGGAAGAAUAAGAUGAUCAACAAAGUGAGGAAAUGAGGGACUGGGCUGCCUAUCUGUGAAUCAUUCUCCUCCAGUGUUCCAAGGAAAGAAUUAAAUCUGCUUGCUGCCAAGAUCUGUUUGAAUGAUGUACACCUUUUGAAAACAACAGCAAUUGUUUUCAAAAUGGUUCCCAAAAUGAUCACUUCUGUGAAUAUGGCAAUAAAUAGCCAGCCUAUGA